UACGGGGGGAGCAAGCGUUGUUCGGAUUUACUGGGCGUAAAGGGCGCGUAGGCGGUCGUGACAAGUCACUUGUGAAAUCUCCGGGCUUAACUCGGAACGGUCAAGUGAUACUGUCGGACUAGAGUGCAGAAGGGGCAACUGGGAAUUCUCGGUGUAGCGGUGAAAUGCGUAGGUAUCGAGAGGAACACCUGCGGCGAAGGCGGGUUGCUGGGCUGAUACUGACGUGAGGCGCGAAAGCGUGGGGAGCGAACAGG
rnacentral:rRNA from 1 species